rnacentral:rRNA from 1 species
ACGCUGGCGGCGUGCCUAAUACAUGCAAGUCGAGCGAACGGACGAGAAGCUUGCUUCUCUGAUGUUAGCGGCGGACGGGUGAGUAACACGUGGAUAACCUACCUAUAAGACUGGGAUAACUUCGGGAAACCGGAGCUAAUACCGGAUAAUAUUUUGAACCGCAUGGUUCAAAAGUGAAAGACGGUCUUGCUGUCACUUAUAGAUGGAUCCGCGCUGCAUUAGCUAGUUGGUAAGGUAACGGCUUACCAAGGCAACGAUGCAUAGCCGACCUGAGAGGGUGAUCGGCCACACUGGAACUGAGACACGGUCCAGACUCCUACGGGAGGCAGCAGUAGGGAAUCUUCCGCAAUGGGCGAAAGCCUGACGGAGCAACGCCGCGUGAGUGAUGAAGGUCUUCGGAUCGUAAAACUCUGUUAUUAGGGAAGAACAUAUGUGUAAGUAACUGUGCACAUCUUGACGGUACCUAAUCAGAAAGCCACGGCUAACUACGUGCCAGCAGCCGCGGUAAUACGUAGGUGGCAAGCGUUUAUCCGGAAUAUUGGGGCGUAAGCGCGCGUAGGCGGUUUUUUAAGUCUGAUGUGAAAGCCCACGGCUCAACCGUGGAGGGUCAUUGGAAACUGGAAAACUUGAGUGCAGAAGAGGAAAGUGGAAUUCCAUGUGUAGCGGUGAAAUGCGCAGAGAUAUGGAGGAACACCAGUGGCGAAGGCGACUUUCUGGUCUGUAACUGACGCUGAUGUGCGAAAGCGUGGGGAUCAAACAGGAUUAGAUACCCUGGUAGUCCACGCCGUAAACGAUGAGUGCUAAGUGUUAGGGGGUUUCCGCCCCUUAGUGCUGCAGCUAACGCAUUAAGCACUCCGCCUGGGGAGUACGACCGCAAGGUUGAAACUCAAAGGAAUUGACGGGGACCCGCACAAGCGGUGGAGCAUGUGGUUUAAUUCGAAGCAACGCGAAGAACCUUACCAAAUCUUGACAUCCUUUGACAACUCUAGAGAUAGAGCCUUCCCCUUCGGGGGACAAAGUGACAGGUGGUGCAUGGUUGUCGUCAGCUCGUGUCGUGAGAUGUUGGGUUAAGUCCCGCAACGAGCGCAACCCUUAAGCUUAGUUGCCAUCAUUAAGUUGGGCACUCUAAGUUGACUGCCGGUGACAAACCGGAGGAAGGUGGGGAUGACGUCAAAUCAUCAUGCCCCUUAUGAUUUGGGCUACACACGUGCUACAAUGGACAAUACAAAGGGCAGCGAAACCGCGAGGUCAAGCAAAUCCCAUAAAGUUGUUCUCAGUUCGGAUUGUAGUCUGCAACUCGACUACAUGAAGCUGGAAUCGCUAGUAAUCGUAGAUCAGCAUGCUACGGUGAAUACGUUCCCGGGUCUUGUACACACCGCCCGUCACACCACGAGAGUUUGUAACACCCGAAGCCGGUGGAGUAACCUUUUAGGAGCUAGCCGUCGAAGGUGGGACAAUGAUGG